rnacentral:rRNA from 1 species
CCCUUAGAUGUUCUGGGCCGCACGCGCGCUACACUGACGAAUGCAACGAGCUUAUAACCUUGGCCGAAAGGUCUGGGUAAUCUCCAAAUUUCGUCGUGAUGGGGAUAGAUUAUUGCAAUUAUUAAUCUUCAACGAGGAAUGCCUAGUAAGCGUAAGUCAUCAGCUUGCGUUGAUUACGUCCCUGCCCUUUGUACACACCGCCCGUCGCUCCUACCGAUUGAAUGGUCCGGUGAAGCGUUCGGACCGUGGCCUUUGGACGGUUCGCCGUCUGUUGGCUGCGGGAAGUUCGUUAAACCUUAUCAUUUAGAGGAAGGAGAAGUCGUANCA